rnacentral:rRNA from 1 species
AUUGAACGCUAGCGGCAGGCUUAACACAUGCAAGUCGAGCGAGCGGCGGACGGGUGAGUAAUGUCUGGGAAACUGCCUGAUGGAGGGGGAUAACUACUGGAAACGGUAGCUAAUACCGCAUACCAUCAGAUGUGCCCAGAUGGGAUUAGCUCGUAGUGUGGGUAAUGGCUCACCUAGGCGACGAUCCCUAGCUGGUCUGAGAGGCUGACCAGCCACACUGGAACUGAGAUACGGUCCAGACUCCGACGGGAGGAAGCAGUGGGGAAUAUUGCCCAAUGGGCGAAAGCCUGAUGCAGCAAUGCAGCGUGUGUGAAGAAGGCCUUCGGGUUGUAAAGCACUUUCGGCGAGGAGGCGUUACUCGCAGAAGAAGCACCGGCUAACUCCGUGCCAGCAGCCGCGGUAAUAC